rnacentral:piRNA from 1 species
UGGGUGUGUCAUGGAUGCUGUCCUGCGCCU